GUUAACCGAAUAGGGGAGCCGAAGGGAAACCGAGUCUUAACUGGGCGUUAAGUUGCAGGGUAUAGACCCGAAACCCGGUGAUCUAGCCAUGGGCAGGUUGAAGGUUGGGUAACACUAACUGGAGGACCGAACCGACUAAUGUUGAAAAAUUAGCGGAUGACUUGUGGCUGGGGGUGAAAGGCCAAUCAAACCGGGAGAUAGCUGGUUCUCCCCGAAAGCUAUUUAGGUAGCGCCUCGUGAAUUCAUCUCCGGGGGUAGAGCACUGUUUCGGCAAGGGGGUCAUCCCGACUUACCAACCCGAUGCAAACUGCGAAUACCGGAGAAUGUUAUCACGGGAGACACACGGCGGGUGCUAACGUCCGUCGUGAAGAGGGAAACAACCCAGACCGCCAGCUAAGGUCCCAAAGUCAUGGUUAAGUGGGAAACGAUGUGGGAAGGCCCAGACAGCCAGGAUGUUGGCUUAGAAGCAGCCAUCAUUUAAAGAAAGCGUAAUAGCUCACUGGUCGAGUCGGCCUGCGCGGAAGAUGUAACGGGGCUAAACCAUGCAC
rnacentral:rRNA from 1 species